rnacentral:lncRNA from 1 species
GGGAACCAUAAGUUCCUCUUGCUUUUUGCAUCAAUUCCGGCUCCUCGUGGUUCACUCAGGAGUUUCCCCGGUGAUGUGAGCAUCCUCUAGUCCAUUUCCUGAUGGAGUCCGAUGGAGUCCCUGUUCCUGUCUGAAAUUGGCAAGAGCAACGUAACCACUGCAUCAGAAACAUCAAUGACACAAGAGACCAACGACCUCCUCAUGUGUGUCUCGAGCCUCUAGCACAGGAUAAGUGCGUGCGGGCCUCCCAGAUGCCGUCACUAAAAGCGUGGAGUCGGCCCAAGUUCACAUUCCAUCCACACAGCAGCUGGAAGAGACAGAAGCCCUCCUUCCUAUUUGCCUUUCAGCAUUGCUCUCAUCAUGACAUUCCUGUUAUCUUCAAAUCCCUGAUGGGAGAG